CGCAGCAGGCGGCGAGACAGACCUGCAGAGGGACAGGUGAGGCCAGCAGGACACAGAGUGGGCAGGAAGUUGCUGUCGGCUGAACUUCCCAGCGACACCACCAGUUGCUGGAAGCAGGAAGUGACCCGACUCAGAGCGUUCUGAGCGCGCUCACACUCUGCCUGCUGCCGCCGCCGUCCCGCCGUCAGCUCGUCCACCGAACGACGCCACCGACUCAUGAUGGGAAGCAGCCAAUCAGUGUUGGCCUGAAGGUCAUCAGAAGAUGGUGAUCACCACUAGCGCCUCCAGAAAACUUUCAAAAUGGUGGCCAGACCAGGUCAGUCAAAAUGUUGGGGGUGCAGCUAAAAUAACUCUUUGGGAGGCAACAUGACUGCAAUGGGUG